CUGAAGUUAAAAACAUACAAAUGCGAACCGAAAGAUGGAUAUUCCGGUCGCAUGGGAUUGCUUGUUAAACAAAGAAUAGAUACCACAAAACAAAAACAUACAAAAAAAUAAAUCUGCCAGUUUUAUACAAGGCAAAUUUUAAUUUGGCCAAUUUGAAAGCGCUUCUUGCAUUUUUCUUACACGGGUAUUUCGUUGUUGUUACCACCAUGAUACAAAUAUAUUUGCUGCAAAACAUAAAUUAUUAGGGGGACAGACGGGGGCAUUCGUACUGGGCAGUUAGACGUGAAAUUCUUGGAUAGGCGCAAGACGACAACUGGGAAAGCAUUUGCCAAGAAUGUUAUCUUUAAUCAAAAGCUAAAGUCAGAGGUUCGAAGUCGAUAGAGAUAUGGAGGUAAUUUUUAUAUAGCCAUUUGUCAUAUCUU
rnacentral:ncRNA from 1 species